ensembl:rRNA 5S_rRNA 5S ribosomal RNA
UUCCUCACCUAUUCAUCAGUUCUGUGCCUGAUCUUGUCUGAUCUCGGAAGCUAAGCAGAGUCGGGCCUAGUUAGUUCUUGGAUGGGAAACUGCCUGGGAAUACUGGGUGCUGUAGGAC